rnacentral:rRNA from 1 species
UACGAAGGGAGCUAGCGUUGUUCGGAAUCACUGGGCGUAAAGCGCACGUAGGCGGAUGUGUCAGUCAGGGGUGAAAUCCCGGAGCUCAACUUCGGAACUGCCUUUGAUACAGCACAUCUGGAGUCCGGAAGAGGUGGGUGGAAUUCCUAGUGUAGAGGUGAAAUUCGUAGAUAUUAGGAAGAACACCGGUGGCGAAGGCGGUUCUCAGGGCCUGUACUGACGCUGAGGAGCGAAAGCGUGGGGAGCGAACAGG